GACGCAGGGUUGCCACAGACCUUCAAUUUUUAAAAACAGCAAUAUCUGCGAAGCGCAAUAAAACGAGUACCCAGAGUGGUUUACAUUUAAAGAUGUAUGAAGAAGACAGACCGGCAAGGUAAUUAGGAACAGGGACAACUUCAUCUUUUUAUUACACAAAUAUGGCUUGCAGCCCAUGGGACAUGAGAUAACUUACGAGCCAGUAGUAGAUGAGGUGCUUCUCUAUGCCUCCAGCAAGAUAUGUGUACUUCACCACAUAGCAGUCCCCGGCAAAGAACACACCCUUUAGAUUGUCAGGCACAGGGACCAGCUCGAAAUUCUCAACACGCCACACGGUGCGCUCUCCUGUACCAUCAUCUACAAGCUGUGAUUCAGCAGCAAACUUUGGUUUGUCAUGCAAGGUGGCUGCAUCAAACUUGUUGUUGAUAGUGGUGGCAAUCUUACCAACUGAAACAUUGUCAUCAAACUUUGUAGUGGAUGUGAACAGCACUUUGAACUCAAUGGGCUCACCUCCAUCCACCACUCUUGUGACUAAUGUGUUGCUUGGAUAGCCCUUCUUGGUCACAUAACCCUGAGCAUUACGCAUUGCUUCAACCCGUUCCUUAGAUGAUGCUUUGCGACCUACCCACACCCAUAUGCCUUCAGGACCAUUGUCAAUAAUGAAGGAAUCCUGGCAAGAGAAGAAAGGGGGCCAGAUUUGACCUCUGUGACCUUGUAGGUGCCAUCCUCAUCACUGCAAUGGUACAGAGUAAGCGUUGCUCGUUUGACUUCCUCCUGAACAUCAUCAGCGCCAGCUUCUUCUGCAGACUUGACUGUGUGAUUACUCAGGCCCAGAAUGUUUGGCCUACUUAGUUGAUUAGCAGUAGACCUAUAAUGUUUUUGGUGCAUUUCUAAGAGCCUGUACCUCAUGCCUGCCUUGAAGUACCCCUUGAACCGAGCCGACUCAUUGCCCUGUGACUCACGGUGUUGAAUGGGAGAACCCCCCAGGUAGUCGUCUAGCUCCACUGUUUUGUAUGCUGCUAUGCCUGCCUCAUCAGUGGUCGCUUCCUUACCCAGCCAGAAGUGGAUGUGGACUUCAGGUGUUCCAUGUAUCUGGACAGGCUAUACCAGAAUACAGACAUUUGGUAAGGAAACCUCUUCAACAAUUUGUCCUCUAACCUCUGCCUCGAAGACGGCUCUGGGAGUCACCAACCCCCGAUCUAAUGGAUACCGGGGUCGUCUGCCGAGUGUAAACUUUGACGGGGCGUGCCGCUAACCACUCACCCCCAUCUACUGCCAAGGUUGACAUCGAGUAGGAGCUACAUCUCCUCUUCCCCAAAAACUACAUUGGACUUUGCAUAGCGUUCGUAACGCUACACCCCAGAACCGUCAUAGUCUUACGUUGGUAACGCCGUCAGAUAUGAAAUGGCGGCGUAUGCUGAGUCGGAAAAGGAGGGAAGCAGCUGUUUUUCAAGAAGAAUUGAUAAUGGUGGCAAGACUAAAGUAAUUACACUCAAGAGUCUAUUGUAAGGAUAAUAUUAUAUUGUACUGUCUUAAUCACAAAUGAUGUGAGGUAUGAUGCAUCUGUCUGUUUUAUUAGCAAAAUUUCUGAACAGUAUGGAAAAAUGCUGCACACACAACACAGUAAACCGCCUUCACUCCUAAUAAGAUAGAUGCAUCAUUGUACAAUGACUAACCACAACUCAGAUCAAAAACACAAUGGACUUGAAAAUUGCUGUCUUCUGGGUUAUAGAUGCAUGUAGUCUGGUGGAAGAUUACCAAUGUUUCAGAGGUCCUUGCUCCCUGCAUGAUCAGUAUUCAUCAUCACUGCACUAAGUAAGUGGAAACGUUUUAACUUAAUAUUCUAUCAUUAUUUUUUGACAUCAGAAGGAGACAAUAUGAUCACCAGUGCAAUGACAUAUUUAUUUAUAGUUUAUUCAGUGAUGCAGUUUCUGUAGCUCAUACUAUGUAACAUUGAAUGAGAGGAUGACAAUGAAUAAUGAAUUGUAAAUGAAGGAAACAUUGACCUGGAAUUAAGAAAAAUUUUUCUGAAGUUAUAUAUUUGGAGCACACAUUUUGAGAUACCUAGGAUUGGUUAAUUUGGUAAUGGAAGGAACAAUUGAAGAGGUCACAAAGAUUGGAAUAUGUGACGCAGAUUUUUGAGGAUUUAGGCUGUAAAAAAUAUGUGGAAAUGAAGAGACUGACGCAAGAUAGACGAAAAUUGAGGACCGCAUCAAAGCAGUCAGAAGACUGAUGCCAAAGAGAGAGAAGUGAAGGAAGCGGUCAUGGCAUAAUUUAAGUUACUAUCACAGCAUUUACCUGGAAGGACUGAGGAAAACUGCAAACACUUCUGUCAGGAUAGCCAGUCUAACCACUCAACCAUGACAUUUGGUAGCAAUGACAUAAAAGCAGGGAUUUGAAUGUAAUGGUGGCCACAGACUGAAACAUGUUCUAGUGAAUGGACAAUGAGCUGAGUGUGCAAGUGACAAGCAAGAAAAACCAAGAAUUAGCGUAGAGGGUUAUGUAAGUUCCAACAGUUUUUUUUACCACAGAGCUUAUGUUACCUGAAAACAAAGACUGUCUGAAUGAGAUGUUGCACCCAUUUGUUUUAUGGAAUAAAUAUUGGACAAUUUUGCAAACAAACUGUAAAAUGGGUUUGUAUGCUGAGUGACAAUACAGUAUCAUGCACUUCUCUUGUAAGCAGCUGUUAGAUGGUUCGAUAGUUCAUAUUCAUUGUGUUCAAAACUGUUUGCGGUUACACACAGUGUUAUUCCCAACCCACGUGAGAAUGAAAGUCGGUAAAAUCAGUGGCAGUGACCCAGACUAUGAGCAGAGGCGUGUUUCUGACUUUUCUGACUUUACUGAUUCAGGUGGUAUUGUUAGUUUAAAAGAGUUACAAGUAUCUUCUACUGAUGAUAACAGUUUGGAAGGAAUUGUGAUACUCCUCUUGCUACAGUAAGCAAGCAUACACUCUGUUCAAACAGAUGACAAUUUUCAAGCCAGAAAACUAAUCCAUUAUUCAUGUAAAAAUUUAAAUGAGUGCUUAUCAGAAUUAGAGACAUUCCUCAGAGUGUUUCCCAGUAGUUUAUGUUCAUAUCACAGUGCGCUAAUGAAUGGUUGGACGUCAUGGAGGAGUCUACUAGAAAGAAGAAAUUAUAUGAACAGAUCCUUGGAAAAUAAAACGGAUUGUUCGCUGAUCAUGUGCCACACCAUGUCCCCGAACAUUCACUCUACUGGUCAAAGAAUGGGGAACAUAACAAUGAAACAGUGUCACGAGAUAUAUUUUCUCCAAAUUUUACUUCAAGGACCCAAAACAGCUGCAAUUUAUCAGCAGAAUCUGUUAAAUUGAAUAAGUAACCUCAGUUGUUUGGAGAGUAUGUACCAGACAAGUGGAUUAGGUAGGUGAGGGAUGAAAAUGUGGGAAAGGUGUGAUUCAGUUACUGGAUGCACAUAUGAUAUGAGCGUGUACUCUGGAGAGCAAACAACAGUUAUUGAAGGUACUGUCGGAGAACGAGUUGUAAUCAAAGUACUUUAAACUGUAUCUGAACCAGAUGUUCCACUUUGCUUUGGCAGAUUUUAAAACAACCAGUGUGCUUGACACAUAUCCUUAUGCAGCUGUUAGAAUCUGCAUGAGAACAAGGACAAAUGUUUCAGAGUUUCCUGAAAUUUAUAAAAGAGAACACUUUAUGUUCUUAGUAAAUGAAUCAGGUACAGUGGCCAUGAAAUGGUAAGGUACUAAGGAAGUAAUUGUUAUAAGUAACUGCCACACAAGUGAUUUAGAAAUAGCAAAGUGCAAGUUGAGGGAUGGCAGCAAAAUACCUUGUCCAAAGGCAGUUUUGUUUAACAGUGACUGUAUGGGAGGUUUGGAUGUAGGUGAUCACAUGACAGAAAAUUUGCUAAAUGUUGGAAGAAAGUAUUUUACAGAUUUCUCAUGCCAUCAGUUGUAAAUGCAUGAAUGGGUUCUGUCUGCAGAGAUAAGAUGAGAAGGGAGGCUACUACUUUAGUUUCUUGUUGUUGUGACUUAGAGCUUUGUAGAUUGUGGAAGAAAUGGAAUGCCACUAAAAUGGCAUGAAUCCACUGGUUAGUCUUCAGAGGGCUCUGCAACAAUAUGCAAAGUUUGUGACCAUCUCCCUGUAUAAGGUAACACAGGGAGAUGCUUUGACUGCUCUCAGUAUAAGGAAGCACGCACAUUAAUCUAGGCGAAGUUGAAAAGGUGAUAACUACACAUUUUAAAUUAGUCACUGGUGUAUGUUUUUGUAUAAAAAUUAAUUUAAAUGAACAGUUUAGUUCUUGCAGUUGGUAUAGUUUAAUUUUCAGGAUUUAAUAUUGUUCUGCUGUUGUUUGUCUUAAUGAGUCAACAGGAUAAUUAAUUCUCUACUGUAAAGUAAGAUGUCACAAUUAAAAUUUAGGCCUUUUUUAUUUCUUGUUAUAAAACCAUUAGAAUGAGAUUUAUUGGUAGUUCAUUUAUUGAAAUCACCAUUUUAAGAUGCAAUAAAGUAGUCUCACAUAUCUUUGGAAUAACAGAACAGAAUGACUGAAUGUAGUGGUUAUCCUUUGAGUUCAGAAUAAAUUAUAAUUUUUCAAAUUCAAACAUAGGACAUUUAUGUUUGUUUUAUGAGGUGUGACAAUUAAGUUCCUGAAGUGCCCUGUAAAAACUGUGUUUAAUUACUCGCAAACUAAUGGUCGCUGUCACUUCUGAAGUAGUCUUCCUGCAUAUCAUUACACUUUGUGAACCGGUUUAUCCACUGCUCAAAGCAUAUCUGGAACUCUUUUCGAAUGCGUUUUAGGAUGGUCAUUGCAUGUCCCUGAAAAUCUGUGGCUCUUCAAAGGAGUCUUCAGUUUUGGGAGUAACCAAAUGUGGUGAAUAUGGUGGAUGGUCCAGUUUCAGUAUCAAUUUUUGGCCACAAACUCCUGGACAGCAAGUGUAUCAUGAGCAGGUGCAUUGUCAUGAUGUAUAACCUCAUCAAUAUUACAAAAUAACAGUGCUGGAUUACUGCUUGGCCUUGUUGAGCAAACUCAUAGUGAGCAGUGCUGUUAUGAUCAAUACAGAAGAGGAAAACAAACAAGCAUUGUCUUCAUAUGACCCUCCUUAAAACUUUGUCACUCACAGACACUCAACAUUUUCAUUCAGUGUGACAUUUAUGCAGUCAUUGCACGAACAUAACUGUCAUUCCUCAGAAGGAAAGCCUUGUCCUGAACUGCUUGAGACACAUCAUUCACACACACACUUUUAAUGAUAAUGUAUAGUAAUUAAUGUAGUCUACUCUGUAAUACAUGGAGGAUAGCCAAAAAGCCCUUAUAUUGUGGAUUCAAAGAACCUAAAAUAUAAAUGAAAAAUUUGAAAUACUUUGAAACAACAUUCACACUUAAUGUGCGGUGCAAGCGUUGUUAUUACUGAGAACUGUGAUGUGUAUGAACAACUGUUUGUCCAUACAAAUUAAGAAUUUUCAUAAGUGAUAAACCAGAUUUUAUGAAAUCUGAUUUUGGAGAAUUUCAUGAACAAUAGUCAAGUCGUUCCAGUUUUUAUUGAUAUUGGACAGUUUUAAUGACCACUGCAUACAGAAGCAUAAGAAUUUCUUCAUGUAAUCUAAUCACAUUAGAUAAAAUAGAAAUAAAUGCUCCAGUUGUUCCAGUAGGAAGUCAUAAUAUUCUCAUAUGAAAUUGAAAUUAUGGUUUUGUGUGUUAAGUUCGUUAAUGGGUAGGACCCCCCAUAUAUACCUGGCCUGUAAGCAAGGCAGCUUUAUGUUUACUUUACUUACCAGUUAACCUGAUUUAAAUUGUUUAUAAUUUUCCUCAAUUUCUGUAUUCAAACAUGCUAGUAGUACCUUUAUCGAUGCUGUGGCAACUUCGUACGUGAUACUCUAUCCAUCUCAUUCUACAUAUAACCUCAGCAUCAUAAAAUAAUCUUAUCACUCAAUAAGUUAAUCUCCAUUAGUUUUGCUGGAAGGUAGUGUCUGCGUAUGAAAGAACAGAACGUACCAGUCCUCCAGUACAUUAUAAUUAUUAUGCCCCAUUUAUAAAGGUAUAGAACUUCAUUUACACAUGGCAUUCCUUAAUAGUGAAUACCCUACCCUUAAUCACAGCUUCAGACUUUGAAGCAUUCUCUUAAUAUUGCUGUAGGAAUUAAUACAGUCAGCAAAAGAGACUGCCAAACCAAUAAACUAAAUUAAAUGACCUUCUGGCAAGAGUAUGUCACAAGUAUCACAAACAGAGAAGUGAAAUGUUGGAAUGCUUCUCUUCUCACUGGGCAGUGGAGUCAAGUUUGGAGUUGCUGUUUAGAAGCUUGUCAGUUUAUCAUCCCCUUUAAGGGACUGUAACAUUGACCCCAUUGGAUGCGUGACGACGUCAUAUAAUGAAAAACAUUAUCGCCCUGAUGACGGAGGCAGUAUGACCUCUAAAACGUUGGUUAACAUCAACCAGACUACACAGUGCAACAACCCAGAAGAUAGAAAUCUCCAUACUCACCGCUGUGAAAACCUCAAAUCUUACAAACAUUCAUAUACGAAACAUGUGUACAAACCACUUUUAGUACCGUUUAGCAUCUCGUAUGAGUUGUACAUUCAAAAAUAAUUGUAAAAUUGUGAAUCUCAUUUGUUAAUAACAUUUAGGCCAUAGAAACACGAAUACAUCUGCAGAAUUUGUAACACACUGACAUCAGUCAAGCUACGGUAGGUCGAUGCACCGUUGUCAUCUCUCUGGCAAUUUCCGUAUUGCCUCACAAAACCAUUGUUUGGGGGUGUCUCAUACCCACUCCCUGACAGCAUCAUGUAAGGCGUCACUAUUGGGGAAUCGGCGACGACGCAGGGUAUCAGUUCGGACACUCUUUGAAUCAUUUGCGGAGUUCUUGAUGUUCUGGGACGACCACUGCUGGAUCCCUUUCUCACUGUUUCGUUGUCACAUGCGAAGCCUGUCACCCAACUGAACACAGUUUGCACGUGCAGUCACUGGGGUUCACCGUGCUCCCACACCCACCCUAUUCCCCCGACCUGGAACCAAGUGACUAUGCCCUAUUCCGUGAGAUGAAGAAUCCCCUGCGUGGUCACCGAUUCCCCAAUAGUGACGCCUUAGAUGAUGCUGUCAGGGAGUGGGUAUGAGACACCCCCAAACAAUGAUUUCGUGAGGAAAUACAGAAAUUGCCAGAGAGAUGACAAUAGUGCAUCAACAUCCAGGGAGAAUAUGUGGAACAGGCCGAAGUGUAACCUGGGAGCCACAACCAUCAAGGAUCACAUAAUUCAGGUUAGUCUAAAUCAUUUGUAUACGCCCCUUGUAUAUGGAGAUAUGUGGAAAGGAUCAGAAGGAAACAUGGGAGAAAUGAGGGCAGGAAAUAAAGGUGUGAAAGAGUUAAAGGAAGAAAGGUGGAGAAGAAUGAUGAUAAGGCAGACAAAUAAGAUGGAAAGGGAGACAAGUAUAUGGGAGGUAGGAGAAAUAAGCACAAAAAAAUAAAUUUUGGUAUGGACAUUGAGACACUGGUGACUACUCCAAAAUAUGCCUUUCAAUUUCCUACAAUUGAUAAUAUCAACACGGCAGACAAACAAACUUGUGAUGUGGGAUCAACACCGGUGCUACUUGCAGCAGGACUAUACAAUGACAUAAGGUCACAGAUUUUCAAAAAUACAAAGCUUUAUAAAAGUAAUCUCUUAUAUAAUGUAAAAUAACAUGAUGGUUCCAUGAAAGAAAAUAUUUCAACUUGACCAGGAUCUGAUCCUGUGACCGCACAUGUACAAGUCAUGUUUGCUGCCACAAACCUAAUGAAAUUUCUAAUGUACUGCUGUUGAUUUAAUUCCUUAAAUAAGACAGUCAGACCACUUGAUUUAUAUAGUUGGAAAAUAAAGAAGUUUAACUAAGAUAAA